UAGGGAAUCUUCGGCAAUGGGGGGAACCCUGACCGAGCAACGCCGCGUGAGUGAAGAAGGUUUUCGGAUCGUAAAGCUCUGUUGUUAAGGAAGAACGAGUGUGAGAAUGGAAAGUUCAUGCUGUGACGGUACUUAACCAGACAGGGACGGCUAACUACGUGCCAGCCGCCGCGGUAAUACGUAGGUCCCGAGCGUUGUCCGGAUUUAUUGGGCGUAAAGCGAGCGCAGGCGGUUAGAAAAGUCUGAAGUGAAAGGCAGUGGCUCAACCAUUGUAGGCUUUGGAAACUGUGUAACUUGAGUGCAGAAGGGGAGAGUGGAAUUCCAUGUGUAGCGGUGAAAGGCGUAGAUAUAUGGAGGAACACCGGUGGCGAAAGCGGCUCUCUGGUCUGUAACUGACGCUGAGGCUCGAAAGCGUGGGGAGCAAACAGG
rnacentral:rRNA from 1 species